UCCUCUCACCAUGGCCUGGUCUCUUGUUAACCUCCUGCUGCUCACCUUCUGCUCAGGCUCCCUCUCCCAGCUUGUGCCAACUCAGCCUCCCUCUGCCUCUGCAUCCCUGGGGAGCACAGCCAGACUCGCCUGCACCCUGACCAGUGGGUACAGUGGUAAUACUGUUUUUUGGCACCAGCAGAUCCCAGGAAAGGCCCCUCAGUAUAUUCUGUAUGUCAACAGUGAUGGAAAUAUAGGUAGGGCUAAUGGGAUCCCUGAGCGCUUCUCUGGCUCUGGCUCUGAGGCUGAUCGAUUCCUGUCCAUCAGCAAUAUCCAGCCUGAGGAUGAAGCCAAUUAUUACUGUGUGGCAAGUCACGGCAGUGUUUACCCACAGUGGUGCAUUCAGUGA